GACGAACGCUGGCGGCAUGCCUAACACAUGCAAGUCGAACGAUGACCUUCGGGUCAUAGUGGCGCACGGGUGAGUAGCGCGUGGGAAUCUGCCCAUUGGUUCGGAAUAACGUUGGGAAACCGACGCUAAUACCGGAUACGCCCUUCGGGGGAAAGAUUUAUUGCCAAUGGAUGAGCCCGCGUCGGAUUAGUUAGUUGGUGGGGUAACGGCCUACCAAGACGUCGAUCCGUAGCUGGUCUGAGAGGACGAUCAGCCACACUGGGACUGAGACACGGCCCAGACUCCUACGGGAGGCAGCAGUGGGGAAUAUUGGACAAUGGGGGCAACCCUGAUCCAGCAAUGCCGCGUGAAUGAUGAAGGCCUUAGGGUUGUAAAGUUCUUUCGCACACGACGAUGAUGACGGUAGUGUGAGAAGAAGCCCCGGCUAACUUCGUGCCAGCAGCCGCGGUAAUAC
rnacentral:rRNA from 1 species